ACGUAGGGAGCGAGCGUUGUCCGGAUUUACUGGGUGUAAAGGGUGCGUAGGCGGGAUGGCAAGUCAGAUGUGAAAUACCGGGGCUUAACCCCGGGGCUGCAUUUGAAACUGUCGUUCUUGAGUGAAGUAGAGGCAGGCGGAAUUCCUAGUGUAGCGGUGAAAUGCGUAGAUAUUAGGAGGAACACCAGUGGCGAAGGCGGCCUGCUGGGCUUUAACUGACGCUGAGGCACGAAAGCAUGGGGAGCAAACAG
rnacentral:rRNA from 1 species